GCCUGAAAGAAUGGACUUUGCGUGAGUGAAAAUUGGAAAGCAAUGAAAAUUAUUAAUUAUACUCCAUGUAAAUUAUAUUCCCUACGAAAUGGAUCAGCAGACAACAGUCACAAAAAAAGGAAUCAAUUUGCAAAGACUGACCUGAUCAGCCUGGCUAGGCUCAGGUCAGUCAACUCACCUUUGACUCGACCUUAUUGCUCUCGGAUGUAAAGUAGGUGCAAUUUCGGUCGGAUUCUGACCCAGCCAUCCCAGCGCUAAGUCCAACUCAAAAGAAGAAUACACUUAAGUUUGUGAGCCGGCAAAAAACUGAACGAUCUCACUGAAUUCCGAUAAUGCCUUAAACAAUGAAUUGAUGGAUACGAGCAUCGCCAUCGACCAUACGGACGAAAGGCUUCUAAUAAGAGAACGCAAAAAGAUCGCUGAGCAGCCGAGAGAGCAGCAGCAAUAUGUUUGGCAAAUUAUAGAGGCUGCUUGAAUAGGAAAUAAGUUGACGCUUAAUGUAAAUAAUUUUUCGCGGACCAAUAGAAAGGCAGGUAAUAUAGCUGGUAAAGACAAAUGUGUUUUGAGACUGCCAAUCUCAUCAUCGGGAUGCCUGCAUUUCAA